GACGAACGCUGGCGGCGUGCCUAAUACAUGCAAGUCGAGCGAAUCACUUCGGUGAUUAGCGGCGGACGGGUGAGUAACACGUGGGCAACCUGCCUGUAAGACUGGGAUAACUUCGGGAAACCGGAGCUAAUACCGGAUAAUCCUUUUCCUCACAUGGGGAAGAGCUGAAAGACGGUUUCGGCUGUCACUUACAGAUGGGCCCGCGGCGCAUUAGCUAGUUGGUGAGGUAAUGGCUCACCAAGGCGACGAUGCGUAGCCGACCUGAGAGGGUGAUCGGCCACACUGGGACUGAGACACGGCCCAGACUCCUACGGGAGGCAGCAGUAGGGAAUCUUCCGCAAUGGACGAAAGUCUGACGGAGCAACGCCGCGUGAGCGAUGAAGGCCUUCGGGUUGUAAAGCUCUGUUGUUAGGGAAGAACAAGUAUCGGAGUAACUGCCGGUACCUUGACGGUACCUAACCAGAAAGCCACGGCUAACUACGUGCCAGCAGCCGCGGUAAUACGUAGGUGGCAAGCGUUGUCCGGAAUUAUUGGGCGUAAAGCGCGCGCAGGCGGUCCUUUAAGUCUGAUGUGAAAGCCCACGGCUCAACCGUGGAGGGUCAUUGGAAACUGGAGGACUUGAGUACUGAAGAGGAAAGUGGAAUUCCACGUGUAGCGGUGAAAUGCGUAGAGAUGUGGAGGAACACCAGUGGCGAAGGCGACUUUCUGGUCAGUAACUGACGCUGAGGCGCGAAAGCGUGGGGGAGCAAACAGGAUUAGAUACCCUGGUAGUCCACGCCGUAAACGAUGAGUGCUAAGUGUUAGGGGUUU
rnacentral:rRNA from 1 species